UGCAAAUCCUCCUUCCCAGCAUAUUCUUCUCUCCCUCCACUCCUUUCAAAACAUCCACCAGAAGGGAAAGAAAAUGGCCAGUUUACGCCUUGCAAGAUUUAUAACAGAAGUCGUGCCAUCACAACUUGCAAGUACCACGAGGAGGCGGAGCAAACCAUGCAUCGUGAUGGAUACAAUUCGCGAAGACACAGAAGAAGAAGAGAGACAUGCACAUGAAAGCUUCAGUAAUGCUGCUCUCUCUUCUUCUCCAGGAAGCUCUUCUGCUUCUUGGGCAGUGGCUACUUCAACUGGUUUGAACUCCAAGUUCUACUUCGACCAAGUCCGAACAUCUUUGUUUUGUGUUCGUAAAUGACCGUGCUUUUUAGCUGAUGGUGACAGUGUGCAUCUUCGAGGCACAAGACCUUUCCACCAUAUUUCCUCUUCAUCUGAUAGGAUAAGAUCAGGGCUACUGUCCUGAGACUGGUGUGAGAGAGAGAGAGAGGUUCUUCCUUCUUUUUUUCUCUUGUAGUAGGGUUCUCUUGUUUCCUCUUUUUUAUCUUUGAAGGGGAAUUCUCGUACAAUGUCUUCAAGGUAGUGGGCUGUAUACUAUGCGUAGUGAAAUCGUUCAAUUUGUUUCUUCCA
rnacentral:lncRNA from 1 species